rnacentral:rRNA from 1 species
UAGGGAAUCUUCGGCAAUGGACGAAAGUCUGACCGAGCAACGCCGCGUGAGUGAAGAAGGUUUUCGGAUCGUAAAACUCUGUUGUUAGAGAAGAACAAGGACGUUAGUAACUGAACGUCCCCUGACGGUAUCUAACCAGAAAGCCACGGCUAACUACGUGCCAGCAGCCGCGGUAAUACGUAGGUGGCAAGCGUUAAUCGGAAUUACUGGGCGUAAAGCGCACGCAGGCGGUCUGUCAAGUCGGAUGUGAAAUCCCCGGGCUCAACCUGGGAACUGCAUUCGAAACUGGCAGGCUAGAGUCUUGUAGAGGGGGGUAGAAUUCCAGGUGUAGCGGUGAAAUGCGUAGAGAUCUGGAGGAAUACCGGUGGCGAAGGCGGCCCCCUGGACAAAGACUGACGCUCAGGUGCGAAAGCGUGGGGAGCAAACAGG